UCGGCAAAGCCUGGGCGGCGUGCUUACACAUGCAGUCGAACGGAAAGGCCCUGCUUGCAGGGUACUCGAGUGGCGAACGGGUGAGUAACACGUGGGUGAUCUGCCCUGCACUUCGGGAUAAGCCUGGGAAACUGGGUCUAAUACCGGAUAGGAGCCAUUUUUAGCGUGAUGGUUGGAAAGUUUUUUCGGUGUAGGAUGAGCUCGCGGCCUAUCAGCUUGCUGGUGGGGUAAUGGCCUACCAAGGCGGCGACGGGUAGCCGGCCUGAGAGGGUGGACGGCCACAUUGGGACUGAGAUACGGCCCAGACUCCUACGGGAGGCAGCAGUGGGGAAUAUUGCACAAUGGGCGCAAGCCUGAUGCAGCGACGCCGCGUGGGGGAUGACGGCCUUCGGGUUGUAAACUCCUUUCGCUAGGGACGAAGCUUUUGUGACGGUACCUAGAUAAGAAGCACCGGCUAACUACGUGCCAGCAGCCGCGGUAAUACGUAGGGUGCGAGCGUUGUCCGGAAUUACUAGGCGUAAAGGGCUCGUAGGUGGUUUGUCGCGUCGUCUGUGAAAUUCCGGGGCUUAACUCCGGGCGUGCAGGCGAUACGGGCAUAACUUGAGUACUGUAGGGGUAACUGGAAUUCCUGGUGUAGCGGUGAAAUGCGCAGAUAUCAGGAGGAACACCGAUGGCGAAGGCAGGUUACUGGGCAGUUACUGACGCUGAGGAGCGAAAGCAUGGGUAGCGAACAGGAUUAGAUACCCUGGUAGUCCAUGCCGUAAACGGUGGGCGCUAGGUGUGAGGGUCUUUUCACGACUUUCGUGCCGUAGCUAACGCAUUAAGCGCCCCGCCUGGGGAGUACGGCCGCAAGGCUAAAACUCAAAUGAAUUGACGGAAGGGC
rnacentral:rRNA from 1 species